CAAACGAGACGUUGUCACGGCUGGGCGACGACGCGACUCGUUUCAUUAUUGUCAUAAACGAGCCAAUAUCUCGGUCAAAAGAUACAAUGACCGGGUUUCUUUUGUCAAGUUUUCCAUAAUAGCUAGCGGGUAAUCCCACCGUCGCCAUUUGAGUGGUUUUAACCGGCGAAAAACAAGUCUGGAGAAGGGCAUGUCACCAUGGCAACGGCGCUAACUAAACCGACGCCAUUGCUUGUGACGUUGCAGUCCGGCUGGAGAAAAAAGUCGGAAUUCUUCCUGUCUUUAUUGGGCGCAUCCCAAUGCGCACUCAACUGGGCGCUCUGCUGAUUGCGCCACUCCGGCAGAGGCUGCGCCAGUGCACAGCUGCAAUCAAUCAGUGGCAAUCAGCACACCUGAAGCUGAUCAUCAGGCCUGCCUUCAUAAGCCUGCACAAACUGCUAUCCGGCGCUAGAACAGAGCAAUCUGUUCCUGUACACAACCCUUCCUUCGUUCCCACGUGACAAGCUGUGUGUCUCGUCUCGCCCCUGUGUUCCCCUCUGGUUCUCUGGCUGCCUCUUGGAUCUUGACCUCCCACCUGGACACAGACCUUUUGACGCCUCUCUAUCGCCCCCAACUUCCUGUCGGCCUCUCGGAUCUACGAGCUUGCCCUGCCCCUUUUGGACUUGCCUCUCGCUCAACAGCUAAUCUCCACACAGAUGCACACACAUACACAUUUUGAUUAUUUACAGACAUAAUUUAUUAUUUAUAUAUACUGUGAUGUGUGGGCACAAACCAACCUCCCAGAGACAGUUCUGUUAAUGUUCAAACGCAGCGGCGUUGGUUUAUUCAGCAACUUUUCUGAAUGCAGGUUAACUUAGAGUUCUCCCGAUUGGGGCUUCCAUUGAAACAAACAAAUUAUCGCAUUUUUUAUGCCUUGAUCAGGUCUCCUAAACUGCCUGGAACAUAGAGCAGAUAAAUCUCUGAUCAGUGCAAAGUUCAAUAAAUCACAGCAUUCAAUGAAUCCAACAUAUUACACAUUUAGCAGACUAAUUUACAAACUAUAUUUCAGUGGCGCAACACACUUACCGCCCGAUGG